GUUUGCAAUAGAUCUUUCUCCUUCCCUCAACUUUCUCCUUCUUUAUGCUCUCUCACGAACACAGCGCUCCACACCAGGCCAUCGUCCUUCGCCGCGCAACACCCAGCUCCACCACCACCCCAUCCCGCAACACCACUGCCUUCUCUUUUAACUUGCUAACGCACGACACUCGGCCACCAUGACAGCCAGCUCUGUCACCACUCCACUGUGCAAUACCACCGCCAUGCUUGCCUUCGCCUCCUGAAUCAACGAACUACAACUUUGAUUUUUGAAAAGGUCUUUCUCUUUAUUUCUUCUCACGAUUUCUGUAACAAAACAGAGGCUAAGUAUCACAUGUCUCUUUCUCAUACUAUUCCAAGCUAAAUAGCAAAAGCAAUAGAUUCUGACUCAUAUAGGAUCUUCAAGAAGCCGGAGGUUCUCGAUUUAUUUAAUUUCUCUUUAUAUAUAUAUUUUUUCCAACUGUUAACUUUAAUUUUUUAUGUAAAUGCUUCACAACAUGUUGGAAUUGCUAUUUCUUUAAUAAUUUGGGGAAAUUGAACCCUAACGAAGCAAAAACAGAAAGCGCUAUAGGAAAUGGAGGGAAGGUGUUUCAUGGUUGUUCUCACUGACAUUUUGUUGCUCUGUUCAUGCUUUAAUUUUCGUUUGAUUUUUGAACAUGCUGCAGUUUGAACUUUGAUGAACUGAGCUUUGCAAAUUAGACACAUGUCUCGUCAUCGGUUCAACGACGUCAUCGGUUCAACGACGUUUAAUAAUAUGAUUCAAAAAAAAAAAUUCUUUUUUAUUGUGUUGUUUGGAGUUGGUUCAAAAUUUCAAUUUAAAUUUAGGUGUUAAAUUUACCUAAUGUAUAUUAUGUAACACAAUUCAAGAGACUCCAUUAUCGUUUUUUUUUUAAACCAAUGUAAUAUUUGAUAGUUUUAACAAGUUAUAUGUAAUUGAUAAUUUUAACCAUCAUAUUUAUAUGACAUUUUACCCUUGUUA
rnacentral:lncRNA from 1 species